AACGAACGUUAGCGGCGCGCCUAACACAUGCAAGUCGCACGAGAAAGGGGGCAACCCCCGGUAAGUAGGCGCACGGGUGGAGUAACACGUAGGUAAUCUGCCCUCGAGUGGGGGAGUAACCUUCCGAAAGGAGGGCUAAUACCGCAUGAGACCACGAGGUCGAGAGGCCAUGAGGUCAAAGCCGGCCACUUCACGAAAGCUGGCGCUUGAGGAUGAACCUGCGGCCCAUCAGCUAGUUGGUAGGGUAACGGCCUACCAAGGCAAAGACGGGUAGCUGGUCUGAGAGGAUGAUCAGCCACACUGGAACUGAGACACGGUCCAGACUCCUACGGGAGGCAGCA
rnacentral:rRNA from 1 species